rnacentral:rRNA from 1 species
CCUACGGGGGGCUGCAGUGGGGAAUAUUGCACAAUGGGGGCAACCCUGAUGCAGCGACGCCGCGUGAGUGAAGAAGGAUUUCGGUAUGUAAAGCUCUAUUAGCAGGGAAGAAAAUGACGGUACCUGACUAAGAUGCCCCGGCUAACUAUGGGCCAGCAGCCGCGGUAAUACGCAGGGGGCAAGCGUUAUCCGGAUUUACAGGGUGUAAAGGGAGCGUAGGCGGGAGCACAAGUCUGGAGUGAAAUGCCGGGGCUUAACCCCGGAACUGCCUUGGAUACUGUGCAGCUAGAGUGCAGGAGAGGUAAGUGGAAUUCCUAGUGUAGCGGUGAAAUGCGUAGAUAUUAGGAGGAACACCAGUGGCGAAGGCGGCUUACUGGACUGUAACUGACGUUGAGGCUCGAAAGCGUGGGGAGCAAACAGGACUAGAUACCCUUGUAGUC